rnacentral:rRNA from 1 species
UACGUAGGGGGCAAGCGUUGUCCGGAAUCAUUGGGCGUAAAGAGCUCGUAGGCGGCCCUGUAAGUCCGCUGUGAAAGUCAAGGGCUCAACCCUUGGAUGCCGGUGGAUACUGCAGGGCUAGAGUCCGGAAGAGGCGAGUGGAAUUCCUGGUGUAGCGGUGAAAUGCGCAGAUAUCAGGAGGAACACCGAUGGCGAAGGCAGCUCGCUGGGACGGUACUGACGCUGAGGCGCGAAAGCGUGGGGAGCAAACAGG